rnacentral:rRNA from 1 species
GAUGAACGCUGGCGGCGUGCCUAAUACAUGCAAGUCGAGCGAAAAGACGAGGAGAUUCCUCCUCUCAAGUUAGCGACGGAUGGGUGAGUAACCCGUGGAUAACCUGCCUAUAAGACUGGGAUAACUUCGGAAAACCGGAUAUAACACACGUCAAUAUAUGGAACUGCAUGGUUCACUAGUGCACGCCCGAUUUGAUGGCCCUUUUACAUAGUUCCGCGCCGCAUUAGCUAGUUGGUAAGGUAACGGCCUACCAAGGCAACGAUGCGUAGCUGAUCUGAGAGGGUGAUCAGCCACACUGGGACUGAGACACGGUCCAGACUCCUACGGGAGGCUGCAGUGGGGAAUCUUCGACAAUGGGCGCAAGCCUGAUGCAGCAAUUCCGCGUGAGUGAUGAAGGUCUUCGGAUUGUAAAGCUCUGUGAGCAGGGAAGAAAAGGUGUGUAAUAACAUAGGCUGGUAUUGACGGUACCUGAUGAAAAAGCACCGGCUAACUACGUG